UGAACUCACCGUAUAGUCUGUUUACAUGUAUAACUUUCUCAGACUUUCCAGGACGUGUUUUAUGCCACUUUUUCUGUCUCAUUUUUGUCCACCACACUUUUAACGUUGUGCGUGGAUGCACAAAGGAAUAAUGUCCGUGGAUGUCGUCUUGCCGUUUGCUGUACAGAUGCAGAAGUAGCUCGUGAUGCCCAGGAUAGGAGGAGCCAGGUUGAAGGAAUAAUGUCCGUGGAUGUCGUCUUGCCGUUUGCUGUACAGAUGCAGAAGUAGCUCGUGAUGCCCAGGAUAGGAGGAGCCAGGUUGAAGGUGACGAUGACCACCGUAUUUUUUUGCUGCACAUCAACAUACUGGGGGUGCCAUUCUAGGUGGACAAAGCAGUAUUUGACAUUAGAUAGAGAAUCAAAAGUAGUAAUGUAGAAAACAAUAUUUUCUUUACCUGCUUUGCACUCGGGAACACCAGUUUUCUCUUCACACGCUGCAAAAUCACAACAUGCACACAUUGCUACAUAUUGCAUUAUAUUAUAUUACACAUUCAUUUUGAUCGGUUCAAUGCAGUGUCCCACUAAAACCAGCAGAUGGGGCUGUUUUCAAGGUUAUACGAAGUAGCCUUUCAAUUUGUUGUUUUAGAUCAGGGGUCACCAACGCGGUGCCCGCGGGCACCAGGUAGCCUGUAAGGACCAGAUGAGUCGCCCGUCGGCCUGUUCUAAAAAUAGCUCAAAUAGCAGCACUUACCAGUGAGCUGCCUCUAUUUUUUAAAUUGCAUUUAUUUACUAGCAAGCUGGUCUCGCUUUGCCCGACAUUUUUAAUUCUAAGAGAGACAAAACUCAAAUAGAAUUUGAAAAUCCAAGAAAAUAUUUUAAAGACAUGGUCUUCACUUGUUUAAAUAAAUUCAUUAUUUUUUUUACUUUGCUUCUUAUAACUUUCAGAAAGACAAUUUUAGAGAAAAAAUACAACCUUAAAAAUGAUUUCAGGAUUUUUAAACACAUACACCUUUUUACCUUUUAAAUUCCUUCCUCUUCUUUCCUGACAAUUUAAAUCAAUGUUCAAGUAAAUUAAUUUUUUUUAUUGUAAAGAAUAAUAAAUACAUUUUAAUUUAA